GUGCUUGCUUCAGCAGCACAUAUACUAAAAUUGGAACUAUACAGAGAAGAUUAUCAUAGUCUCUGCACAAAGAUGACACAAAAAUUCACGAAGACUUCCAGAUUUUU
ensembl:snRNA U6 U6 spliceosomal RNA